rnacentral:lncRNA from 1 species
AUGUAACACCCAAUAGCUUCAUAUCGGAUGAAAAAAUGAUUCUGAUUGGAUUAUAUGAGGCCUCCACCCUAGUAAUAAUAAUUUGGCUUAAGCAUUUUGGGCCAAUGAUUUUGGCCCAACGAGUCAUUAUUGCUAGUGGGUCGGAUAGUUGUAAUUGGUAUUAGAGCCGAAUACCAGCCGGAAGUGUGAGAUAGGAAAAUAAUUCUGAUUGGAUUAUAAGACCUCUACCAUAAUAAUAAUAACUGAGCUUAAGAAUUUUGGGCUAGUGGUUUGGGUCUAACGAGUUAUUAUUACUUGUGGGUCGGUCGUCACAAUUGGUAUCAAAGCCGAAUACUAGCCGGAAGUGUGAAAGCUAAAUGCUAUACGGGGCAAACUACUACAGCAAUGGGCUUGGUGCGAGCCACCUCUUGAACCUGUAGGAGCCACCUCCAGAAUCUCACAUCGCCUAGUAAUUCUGGUCUGCAUGUCGGUGAUCUAGGUAUGGACCUGACUAGGACGUCAGUAUCUAAACAGGGGGAGUUUGUAACGCGCCAAUAGUCCCACAUCAGAUGAGAAAAUAAUUUUGAUGGGAAUAUAUGAUGCCUUCAUUCUAGUAAUAAUAACUGUGUUUAAGUAUUUUGGGCUGAUUUGUUUGGGUUCAACGAGUUAUUAUUGCUAGCGAGUCGGAUCGUUACAAUUGGUAUCAGAGCCGGAUACUAGCCGAAAGUGUGAAAGCUAAGUGCUAUGUGGGACAAAGUGUUGCACCAACGGAUUUGAUGGGAGUCACCUCUAGAAUCUCACAUCGCCUGGUGAUUCUGUUCUAUAUCUGUGAUCUGAUUUGAACCUGAUGAGGACGUCAAGGUCUAAACGGGGGAAUCUUUAACACCCCAAUAGUCCCACAUCAGAUGAGAAAAUGAUUCUGAUUGGAUUAUAUGAGGUCUCCACCCUAGUAAUAAUAACUUGGCUUAAGCAUUUUGGGCUAGUGGUUUGGGCCCAUUGAGUUAUUAUUGCUAGCGGGUCGGGUAGUUGCAAUUGGUAUCGGAGCCGAAUACCAGCCAGCAGUGUGAGAGCUAAAUGCUAUUCUAGUAUAUAUGUCGGCCCACAUCAGAUAAAAAAGUAAUUCCGAUUGGAUUAUAAGAGACCUCUAUCCUAAUAAUAAUAACUAGGCUUAAACAUUUUGGGCCGGUGGGUUAGGUCCAAUGAGUUAUUAUUGCUAGCAGGUCGGUUCUUUACAAUUGGUAUCAUAGCCGAAUAUCAACCGAAAGUGUGAGAGCUAAGUGCUAUGCGGGACAAAAUGCUACACCAACGGAUUUAGUGGGAGCCACCUCUUGAACCCGUAGGAGCCAUAUCUAGAGUCUCACAUCACUUGGUAAUUCUGGCCUACAUCCCUAACGAGGACGUCAGGAUCUAAAAAGAGGGGGUCUGUAAUACCCCAAUAGUCCAACAUCGGAUAAGCUGAGUGGAUUAUGUGAGGCCUUCACCCUAGUAAUAAUAAUUUAAGCAUUUUAGGCCAGUGAUUUGGGCCCAACGAGUUAUUAUUGCUAGCGGGUCGAGUAGUUGCAAUUGGUAUUAGAGCCGAAUACCAACUGAAAAUGUGAGAGCUAAGUGCUAUUUUGGUCUAUAUGUUGUCCCAUAUCGGAUGAAAAAAUAAUUUUGAUUGGAUUAUAAGAGACUUCUGCUAUAAUAAUAAUAACUGGGCUUAAACAUUUUGAACCGGUGGUUUGGGUCUAACGAGUUAUUAUUGCUAGCAUUUCGGGUCGUUACAAUUGGUAUCAAGUAUCAUAGCCAAAUACCAGCCAGAAGUGUGAGUGCUAAGUGCUAUGCCGGGCAAAGUGCUACACCAACGGGUUUGGUGGGAGCUAUCUCUAGAGCCCGUAGGAGCCACCUCUAGAAUCUGACACCGGGUAUGGACCUGACGAGAACGUCAGGGUCUAAACAGGAGGAGUUUGUAAUGCCCCAAUAUACCAAAUAGGAUGAGAAAAUGAUUCUGAUGGGACUAUAUGAGGCCUCAAUUCUAAUAAUAAUAAUUGGGCUUAAGCAUUUUGAGCCGAUGUUUUAGGCUCAACGAGUUAUUAUUUCUAGCUAGUAGGGUCGUUACAAUUGGUAUCAAGGUCGGAUACCAGCCGAAAGUGUGAGAGCUAAAUGCUAUGCGGGACAAAGUGCUACACCCACGGAUUUGGUGAGAGUCACCUCUUGAACCCGUAGGAGCCACCUCUAGAAUCUCACAUCGUCUGGUAAUUCUAUUAUGCAUUUGUGGUCUGAUUUGGACCUGACGAGAACGUUAGUGUCUAAAUGGGAGGAGUCUAUAACAUCCAAUAGUCCUACAUCAGAUGAAAAAAUGAUUCUGAUUGGAUUAUAUGACGCCUCCACCCUAGCAAUAAUAACUUGGAUUAAGCAUUUUGAGCUAGUGGUUUGGGCCUAACGAGUUAUUAUUGCUAGCGGGUCGGGUAGUUGCAAUUGGUGUCAAAGCCGAAUACCGGCCGGAAGUGUGAGAGCAAGUGCUAUUUUGGUCUAUAUGUCGUCCCACAUCGGAUAGAAAAAUAAUUAUGAUUGGAUUAUAAGAGACUUCUACUCAAAGAAUAAUAACUGGGCUUAAGCAUUUUGGGUCGGUGGUUUGGGUCUUACGAGUUAUUAUUGCUAGCAGGUCGGGUCAUUACAAUUGGUAUCAUAGCCGAAUACCGGCCGAAAGUUUGAGAGUUAAGUGCUAU